UACGUAGGGGCAAGCGUUGUUCGGAAUUACUGGGCGUAAAGGGCGCGUAGGCGGCACAGCAAGUCGGGAGUGAAAGCCCGGGGCUCAACCCCGGAAUGGCUUUCGAAACUGCUGAGCUAGAGUACAGAAGGGGCAACCGGAAUUCCCAGUGUAGCGGUGAAAUGCGUAGAUAUUGGGAAGAACACCUGAGGCGAAGGCGGGUUGCUGGCUGAUACUGACGCUGAGGCGCGAAGCCAGGGAGCAAACGGG
rnacentral:rRNA from 1 species